UUAUCAUUCUAAUAGUGAAAAAUAUUCACUGGUUGCUUAGCACCACAUCAUUUAGCUGACAUUGUGAGCAUGUUCUAUUGAAUACCCGACAUGUGGGGACUUUAAUCCAAGUCACCCAUCUUCAUCAACUGUUUAUACUAAAUUUUCCAUUGCUUUUUUUUUCCCAAUUUUUUCAAGAGACCCACUGAGAGUGCGGAGUUAAACUUCAAGAAGCUCGAAGGGAAUGAAGAAUAAUUGGGAUAGUGAUGCUCGGUGAACUCCAUGACCAGCAAUAGAUUGCCAGAAGAGAAUCGGAUCUUGACUGUCGCCAGCAAGUCGGAUUCUUUUGUACUUAUGUUCGCUGGCGGCAACUGUUUAGAAGUAGGUCAAUACCAGUAGUUGUCGGAGGAAACAACGGUGGGUGGACUAAGUUUUCAGCUCAGAUUACAGGGCAAUGACCUAGUCGACGGCCUUCUAGUAUUGUUUGUAGAAGUGGUACAAGAGACAGAGGAGGAGAUGGCGGUUUCACGACGCUUUUUGUGAUGGAGCUUUUGUUUAAAGACACCACGUGUCAAAUAUUCAGUAGAACAUGCACACCACAUCAUGUGAAUGACGUAGUGCUGAACAACCACCGGAUAUUUUCUCUAUUCUAAGGGCCUUUUGGGGCAAAGGCCGUUUUAUUGUGUUUGGGCUCCCUUUAAAUAGUUAAAAUGGGCCGAGGUUGGACUACGUAACGUCACUACAAUUCCUAUCUGUUUGGGCUUAGCUUAAGACUGAUUAAUAAGCCCAUUGUCAUGUCGCGAUUGGCUCGUAUUUCAUAGUUCACAAUCACAUACAAGACAAGAUCGUCCGGCACUCUGGCUUGCUUGCUUGCUAUUCGAUGAUAAUGUCCGUUGUUUUGCUCCAUAACAUUUCACUCCGGAGACUCGGGGCUUGUGAUCCAAGCCAGUAGAAGAAGAAGCUCCAUCAAUGGCCGACCAGCACCUCUACUACAUAUUCCUUAUACUCCUCUUUCCUCUAUCUCUGCUCUUAUUUCUUUACGUCGUCGUACGACCCCGUCCGGUUAAAAUCCCAAUCAAGGACCGUCACGUGUUCAUAACCGGCGGGUCUAGCGGCAUCGGCCUCUCCCUGGCCCACCUGGCCGCAUCGGAGGGGGCACGUGUCUCCAUUCUGGCCAGGUCCCGAAAUAAGUUAGAGGAAGCGAGGGAGGGGGUCCGUCUUGCCACCGGCAAAGAGGUCGCGAUUUUCGCUGCCGAUGUGAGGGACUUCGAAGCGGUGAAGAAGGCGGUGGAAGAGGCAGGACCUGUUGAUGUGUUGAUUGUGAAUCAGGGGGUUUUCGUGCCUCAGGAACUCGAGAAACAGGAAUUGGAUGAGGUGCGGUUCAUGCUGGACGUCAAUCUGAUGGGGAGCUUUAACAUGAUCAAGGCUGCUUUACCUGCCAUGAAGGAGGCCAGAAAGGAACGUGGGCCCGCCUCAAUCGCUCUCAUGUCAUCACAGGCCGGUCAGGUUGGUAUCUAUGGAUACUCAGCUUACUCAGCUAGUAAGUUUGGGCUGCGUGGUUUAGCAGAAGCACUGCAGCAGGAAGUCAUUGCGGAUAAUAUUCAUGUUUCUCUUAUAUUCCCUCCGGAUACUGAUACUCCUGGUCUAGAGGAAGAAAACAAGAGAAGGCCACCACUCACUAGUAUAAUAGCUGCCUCCUCUGGUGCAAUGAAAGCUGAUGAUGUUGCCAAGAAAACCUUAAAUGGCAUAAAAUCUGCUUCUUUCAUUGUCCCCUGCAACUUUGAAGGAUUAUUGCUUUCUAUAGCAACUGCUGGUUUAUCCCCUCAGAGAUCAUUCUUGAUGGCAUAUAUUGAGGUGGUCGCUGCUGGUAUACUACGCAUUGCAGCUCUAUGUUUCCAAUGGAAUUGGUAUGGAAGUAUAGAGAAGUGGCAUGCACAAAGUAGGUUAUAACAAUCGUAUUAUAGAAACUCUAUAUUCCUGCGACCUGCUUCCUGCUUCCUGCUUGAUGGACAGGGUGUAAUUCAUGGUCAAUUUCCUGAUAGCAUCUGUUGUUUUUGGCAAUACUCUCAAGUCUUUUCUCCUCAUGCUGCUGCAAGGAGAGUGUUGGAGUUGAGUUCUUGAGCUGAUGUAGCAAAACUGGAGCGCUCUCUCACAGUUUUCAUGGCUUUGCAUCUAAACCAUUAAUAAAGAUGCAUCAAGAAGGAAAUUGACUGCACACCUGGAAGAAACUCUGGUUAGCUUCAUUUGUGUUUAAGCUUGUAUGCUCUCAGAGAUCAUCCAUCCAACAGCAGAUUUUUGUUCUUUCUUUUCUGCUUUGGCAGUCCCACCCAACGGAAGAACUUCUUACAACUUUUGUACGCGAUAAAGUUGCAUUUUCGUAAUC